rnacentral:lncRNA from 12 species
CCUCCCUUCCCUUCCCUUCCCUUCCCUUCCCUUCCCUUCCCUUCCCUUCCCUUCCCUUCCCUUCCCUUCCCUUCCCUUCCCUUCCCUUCCCUUCCCUUCCCUUCCCUUCCCUUCCCUUCCCUUCCCUUCCCUUCCCUUCCCUUCCCUUCCCUUCCCUUCCCUUCCCUUCCCUUCCCUUCCCUUCCCUUCCCUUCCCUUCCCUUCCCUUCCCUUCCCUUCCCUUCCCUUCCCUUCCCUUCCCUUCUUCCCUUCCCUUCCUUCGUCAGGCACUACAGAAAUCCCGGAGAGCUGACUCAGGAAAUUGUAAGCCAAAAGCCAGUCACCAGAGUCUGCAGUUUGAACAUAGGUGAAGUAGAACUAACUGCUGCGAAAAAAGACAAACUCUCUUUUCUAAAACUCCACUAUGAAGUUUUCUGGCUGAACCACACUAUGGACUAGUUGAAGUAAGUGCUACUUUUCUUUUCUUUUCAGCACACAAGAUAAGUGUUUCCAGGGUGGUAUAGUUGGCUAGCCCCUUGGCAGUAUUUGGAAAUUUCUAGGUACCUUGUGAGAGGGUUUAUCUUUAUCUUGUGGAUUAUGAUUAAGCAGUGGAGCAAUAAUUAUCUUUUCAUUUUACUACACUAAUAGUAAAACAGAGUCAUGAAGAUCAUUUUAAGGGGAAAGAUUUAUACGAUCUGAAGAGAAACCAGAGUAUUGAAGAUCAUUUUAUUAGACAUAAUGGGUCUCUUAGAAAAAUUGAGCUCUUACUAUUCUUUUCCAUAUAUAUUUCCCUCCAGGUCUUUUAGUAAAAACUUAAAAACAUGGUCACCCAAUCACAAUAUGAUGGGCAAAACAGUAUUAUGAUACCAUGGAUGUUUGGUUUUUUUUUUUCUUUUUUUUUUUGCAUCUGAUACAUUUUUGCAUGAGCAGCAUUCAUUUGCUUUACUCAAGACCUAGCAGCCUACCUGAGCUUUCCCAUUUCUGCUAAGAGCAACAUAAAUUAUUACUUUAUAUUAUACACAUGUAAUACCUAAAUAUAUCAUUAAAAGAUGACAACCAUUUCCUUUUCUUCCCCUGAUGAACUUCUUUUUCCUGAUGAGCUUAUUGAAGUAUGAAUUCCAUGGUUCACUAAAGAUCUUACCAAGUUGGAAGCCCUUGCUACUUAGUUUGUCUGAAGUUUUCAUGUGACAACUGAAAGAGGUUAUUUCUAGAGAAAAAAAAAAUACAGCUAACCAAGAGGGAUGUACCUGUCAAGACUGGGGACAUGGAGUUAUGUGUUUUCCUGCAAUAUUUGAUAUCAUUAGUACCUGGAGUAGAAAAAGGAGUAAUAUUCUUUGCAGACUUUAAGUUGGUUGAGAAACAGCAUGAUAUAUUAAUAUCUGAGAAAAAAAUACUUUUCCUACUGCUAGUCAGGGUUAAAACACUCAUGUUUGUAGCUCAAAAACUCUGCUGAAGCAGCUGGAUAAUUUCUAUAUGAUGACAGGGUAACUGUCAGAAAUAUUUGCAAGGGAUUUGGUCAUUUUAAUAACAACCCAAAUAUUUAUUUCAGCUGCAAAGAUGGAAACACGUGGUUAUCAUUUUGAAAUAUCUUCAAUGAAAUAUUCUUUUUUUUAAAACUGUAAGAACACAAGUAUUGGGUCUCUCUGAAAGGAUAUUGUAUUUGAAAGGUACUUGUCAUUUUAUACUCCAUAUUAUUGUAUAAUCUUGUAUGAAAGUAUUGCUGUGGAUAUGCCAUAGAAAAAUAUAUGCUUUGUCAGCUGUCCUCAUUAUGAUAAAUAGUACAUAUUUGAGAAAUGGCUUCUCCAAGUAUGAAUUUAGCCUGUGACUUCUGAGCUUGAUUUUAAGUUGGUUUGUCAAUAGGAUAAUUGACCUAGUUUUUAUUAGCUGAUUGGCCUGAACCAUUGUAAAUAAUAAUAAUAAUAAUAAUAAUAAUAAUAAUAAUACAAGUUUUGUGGGUUUUUUUUAAGUCAGUAUUUCAACUGUAAAACUAGGUCACAGGCAGCAAACUUAAUUGCUUAAAGGAAUGUGUAACAAGACUUAAAAUUUCUAUCCCUGAUUUAUUUAUUAUAGUAGAAUCCCAAUUACAAAAUAAUAAUAGAAUACCAAUUUGCUUUCAAUUUCGUUUCAAAUUGGCUUGAAUUUUCAUUUUCCUAUCACUAUUUACACUGAACAAAUUUGCAGUUUACCUCUCCUCUUUAAAUCUCCAAACUUCUAAGUUUCUACAUUUUUGUAUGAAUUGAAUGAAUCAAUUUAAGCAACUUCUUAUUAGCAAUGUAUAUUCUCAUACUAGAGUUUCUGGAUCUGAUGUAUUUUCAACUUAGAGUAGAAAUAACUCUGAAUGUAAAGAAGUAUUUCUCAAUCUGAUUUUUAAAAUUCCUCAUCAGACGUACCUCUUCAUGCAAUCUUGUCUCUAAAAUAUUGAUUUUUUUUCACUAGUAUAAAACUCACAUUAUCUAGUCAACUUACAUGGGUCACUGAGAAUCGGUAUAUUAGAACAUUUGGCUAUUAUUGACCUGAAGAAAUUUUAAAAUAGCAUUUAAGAGGUCAUUGUCUUCACAUCCUAUUACUGAUUCCAAAUGACCAUUUCUCUUUAUAAAUGUCCUUGGGUUUCAUUAUAGAGAAAGACUUUUACUGAUGAUAAUUUGUUUCCUUUCUUUGUCUGAUUAAAAAAUCAAUUCUAAUGUACUGUUUCAUAUGCACAUAUGUUUGUAUAGAUAGAUAAGUUAUAGUAUAUGCUUUGCAAAACACAUGGAAUAGAAGCAUCGUCUCCAGUAGUUGGUAUUGCCACCUGAGUAAUAUGCUAACAUGUAAAUUUUCUAUCAAUAGAUAGUUAAAAAUUCUCAAGUCCUAACCAGACAGAAAGAAGACCUGAAUAUAUGCAAGCAUAUCUCCACUUUUCAUGGUAACAUGAAAUGAUAAAUUACUAAUUUUUAGCAAAGGUCCAUUUUGACUCUGGUUCUACUCUUUGUUAAAUUUAUUUCCACAAGAAUACAAUAAUUCAAAGGAUGAUAACACAGUAGACAUUAAAUUUAUCUGGAGAACUGUGCAAAAAUAUCCUUGCCUGGGCUGUAUCUCAGAAAAAUGGAGUCAGAAUCCCAAGGGAUGGGGUCCAGGCAUGAGUAGUUUUUCACAGAUUUACCAGUCCGAAAACCACUGCGUUAGCGCUCUUGAGUUUUCCUGUGCUUAGUUUCAAUCAUGUUUUCUUAUUUAAUCAGAUAUGUUUCUUCUGUGGCCCAGAAUACACUGGUGCAUGAAGCCAGCUUACUUUCAAACUUGAACUCACCAAGUCCUCUUCAACUGAACACAUACAUAUUUGAUUUUGGCAUGAUUUGUUUGCUUACAGACUAUAGAUGUCAUAGGAUUAUGAAAUUUAUCUAGUUCUCAUACAAAGAAACACAAAGAUAAAAAGUAACAAAGGCUCAUAAAAUAUAUACUAUUUGAUUGAUAUAUAUUGAUUGAUAUCUGAUUUUUAUCUGAUUGUUAUAUAUUCAUUUCCUCCAAUUGAAAUUUUAUAUUAUAGAAAUUGUUCUUGAUUUUUUAGGGUGACCAAAGCUUACGUUGCUCAGGACUAGAAGGGUUUCUUAGGACAUAGGCUUUCAGUUCUAAAGCCAGGGAAGUCCUAAACAGACUGUGCCAGGUAGAAACUCUACUUCUAUUUCCUUAAUUAAAAUUUACUGAUCCCACCUCCUUGUAUAAAAGAAUACCUAAUUGAUGGGCUUCCUAUUAAUCCAACUUUCAAAUCUCCUAAAAAGUAGCAAAAGAAAGUAGUCUUCUAGCUGAAAAAAGACCAUUUUGAGAUUUAAUAUUUAGGAAAAGUAGGAUAAGUUGAGCUGGAUGGUGUCUGAAUAUUCUCUCAGGUGAAAUAUCUUAUUAGGUAAAAAGAGGGAAAUGCUAUCAUGCAUAUCUGAAACCUAUGUAGAAUUUGAAAAUAAUCCUACCUAUCUGCCUGUCUGAUAAAUUAAUUUAAUUCAAUAAAUUAAUGGGCACCAGUGGGGAUACA